ensembl:snoRNA LOC120100444 small nucleolar RNA SNORA17
CCUGGUCCUAGAAGCUUUGCAGGUGUGGCUGCUGUGUCACAUGUGUGUCAUUUGAUGGCAAAGAGGAGACAGGCUGUGUCUAGGUCAUAGUGUUCUGACCUAUGAACUUCUGAGUAGUUAGAAGGUAUGAUGGC